GACGGCAAUACAGGAUUUCGUUCCCCCCCCCAUUCCUUACAAGGGAAAUAAAGGAAGCCGAAGGGAGGGGACUAGGACCCCCGCCUUGGGUCGGGGCCCCCCGCCGAGGUAAUUGGGCGGGAGCUAAAUUUGUCCGGAAUUAUUGGGCGUAAAGAGCUCGUAGGUGGUUCGUCACGUCGGAUGUGAAAAUCUGGGGCUUAACCCCGGACCUGCAUUCGAUACGGGCGAGCUUGAGUUUGGUAGGGGAGACUGGAAUUCCUGGUGUAGCGGUGGAAUGCGCAUAUAUCAGGAGGAACACCGAUGGCGAAGGCAUGUCUCUGGGCCAUUACUGACACUGAAGAGCGAAAGCGUGGGUAGCGAAUUUUAUUAUAUACUCUGGUUUUCCACGCCGUAAAGGGGGGGGGUUAGUUGUGGUAACCUUCCACGGUUUCUGC
rnacentral:rRNA from 1 species